UGUGAACACCUUAACUUACAUGGCAAAAGGGUUUUGCAGCUGGGAUUAACUUUAGCAUUUGGGGAUGGGAAAAUGAUCUUGGAUGGCCCACGUGAGCCCAGUGUAAUCACAGCGUCCUUAUAAGAGAGCAGGAGGAUCAGAGUCAGAGGAAGGAGAUGUAAAAAUGGAGAGGGUCAGAGAGGAGAGGAAAUGCUACCCUGCUAGCUUUGAAUACAGGGAAGAGUCUAGGAAUGCUGACAAUCUCUAGAAGCUGAAGGAGAGAAGGAAGUAAAGACAAGAAAGCAGAUUCUCCCUGGAGCCUCCAGAGUGGAACGCAGCCUUAUCAACAUCUUGAUUUUAGCAAGGAAAUAUCCAGAAUCAGCAAAUUCAUGAAGACAGAAAGCAGAUCGAUGGUUGCCAGGCAAUGGAAGGAGAGGAGAUGGGGUGACUUUUUAAGAGGCAGAUUUCCUUUGGAUCAAAGAAAAUAUUCAGAGACUGACAUAGUGGUGAGGGUUACACAACCUUGUGAGCAAACUGAGUGUCUUUAAUGGUGGGACCCGACAAUCUGAGUUUUGCUUACAGAAAGUGAACAGCACUUCCCAAACUUGGAACGCUGCCUUCUUUUUGAAUCUUCUCUCAACAAUAUGUGCAUGAUCCUUACUGCAAACCAUAAACUAAACUAAAUUCUAAAGGGAUUUAAGAGGUAAAUGUAGAAGAUGAAAAAAAAAUUUUUUAACUAAAAUAAAAUUUAGAUGAAUAGCAUUUAUCUUGCCCGCACUUAAGAAAGGAAUCUAAACAUAAAAACAUUAAGAAAAAAAAUAUAGACUUUAUUGUAUAGAAGUUAUUUUAUUGUGUAAAAGUUCUGCACAUAAAACAAUCUAAACCCAAAAAGCCAGACUAUUUUCAUUAGUAUGUAAAGAUUUAAUAGCCUUCAUUUGUAAAACACUUAUAUAAUCAAUGAGAAAAGUGAUUUCUCAACAGAAAGAUUAGCAAAAGACACUGACACUUUUAAGAAUAAAAAGUAAACAUAUCUAUGAAAAACAUUUUAUAAUGGUCAGCACUACAGUAAUAAAUGGAAAUUAAAAUGAGAUAUUCAAUCUGACCUGUUACUUUUGUACGUAUUUCAAGAAUUAUAAUACUUAAUACUGGCAAAUGUACAGAUUUUCUGGAAAGCAUUUUAUCAAUAUGUGCCAAAAAAACUUUAAAGUUUCCAGGCAAACCAGGAUAAGGUUGUAUGUAUAAUAUUAUUUUUUAUCAUGCUAUUUACAAUGGCUAAAAACUAGGGGAAAAUUUAGAUGUCUAAAAAAGAAAAGUAUGGUUAAUGUAAUUAAACCUUGUCAUGGAAAAGAUUUUUUAUGAAAUUGUGAAAUCAUUAAAAAAUGCAUGUGAAAUAAUAUAGAAUGAUCAGAAAGAAACUGUGCAUAGAUGUAUAUAGUGUCAUUUCAAUGAUCUGAACCUGUAUAUCUGUGUGUAUAGGGCUUCCCUGGUAGCUCAGCUGGUAAAGAAUCAGCCUACAAUGCAGGAGACCCUGGGUUGAUUCCUGAAUCUGGAAGAUACCCUGGAGAAAGGAUAGACUACCUACUCCAGUAUUCUUGGGCUUCCCUGGUGGCUCAGAUGAUAAAGAAUCCACCUGCAAUGAAGGUGAC
ensembl:lncRNA